UACGUAGGGUGCAAGCGUUAAUCGGAAUUACUGGGCGUAAAGCGUGCGCAGGCGGUUAUGUAAGACAGGUGUGAAAUCCCCGGGCUCAACCUGGGAAUGGCAUUUGGGACUGCAAGGCUUGAGUGCGGCAGAGGAGACUGGAAUUCCUGGUGUAGCAGUGAAAUGCGUAGAUAUCAGGAGGAAUACCGAUGGCGAAGGCAGGUCUCUGGGCUGACACUGACGCUCAUGCACGAAAGCGUGGGGAGCGAACAGG
rnacentral:rRNA from 1 species